GUGCUUGGGGAAGGACAAACACCAGAGGAGGUUCCCGAUGCAACCUUGAGAUCUCAGCCAUCCAUGUUAUCACCAGCCAAAAGACUCCAAAAAAUGAGAAACAGGCCACAUAGAAGCAAGGAAGACAUGUUGCAUGAAGUAAUGCAGCAUUCAAGUAAU